rnacentral:rRNA from 1 species
UACAGAGGUCCCAAGCGUUGUUCGGAUUCACUGGGCGUAAAGGGUGCGUAGGCGGGUCUUUAAGUCAGGGGUGAAAUCCUGGAGCUCAACUCCAGAACUGCCCUUGAUACUGAGGAUCUUGAGUUCGGGAGAGGUGAGUGGAACUGCGAGUGUAGAGGUGAAAUUCGUAGAUAUUCGCAAGAACACCAGUGGCGAAGGCGGCUCACUGGCCCGAUACUGACGCUGAGGCACGAAAGCGUGGGGAGCAAACAGG